rnacentral:rRNA from 1 species
AUUGAACGCUGGCGGCAGGCCUAACACAUGCAAGUCGAGCGGAGCGGCGGACGGGAGAGUAAUGCCUAGGCAUCUGCCUGGUAGUGGUGGAUAACGUCCGGCAACGGGCGCUAAUUCCGCAUACUAUCAGUCGACCCUAGGUCGGAUUAGCUAGUUGGUGGGGUAAAGGCCUACCAAGGCGACGAUACGUAACUGGUCUGAGAGGAUGAUCAGUCACACUGGAACUGGGACACGGGCCAGACUCCUACGGGAGGCAGCAGUGGGGAAUAUUGGACAAUGGGCGAAAGCCUGAUCCAGCCAUGCCGCGUGUGUGAAGAAGGUCUUCGGAUUGUAAAGCACUUUAAGUUGGGAGGCGUUACCAACAGAAUAAGCACCGGCUAACUUCGUGCCAGCAGCCGCGGUAAUAC